ensembl:ncRNA ZK40.6 ncRNA
UUCUUUUCCUCUUUUCAACUUUUAAUGUUGACAUUCUGUGUCUUUUCACUAAUUGAACAAUCUGCUAAUUGCAGCAGCAUUUUUUGUUCUAAUGGCUUUGAGAGGCGAUAAAAAUAGUGACGUCUCUUACAACUUGUUCCCACUUUU